AUAUUGUUAAGACGUGGAUUGCACGUGUGUACAUACUAGUAGGAAUCAACCCGCAGUCCACCGUACCUGGACCGUAAGUGAAAAAAAAAACGUUUCAUAUGAUUGUUGCCCCGCACGAGAAGACGAGGGUUCCUCUGCCGCCGCCGCCGCGCCCACAUCUUCUUAUCCCCGGUGCUCGUCCUCUCCCCGCCGUCGCCGAAUCCGGAUGAGAUCGGCAGGAUCGGCUGCAUCUCGCGCGACGCCCGGCCACUGUGCUCGGGGAGAAGGGAGAAAGUAGGAGCGGUGCUGCGACCUAGGCAGCAACUCGCCAAGCCGGGCGGUGGCAAACGAGAGCCUCAGCGGUUGGCCGUCGAAGCAGAGGAAGAGAGGAGCUCCAGCCGGAUGCGAGCGGAGGACACCGAUGGCUCUCGGCGGCCAUCGACGGGAACUUGAAUGCCCCAGCCCCCAAAGCUCGCCUCAUCUUCUACCGGCAACAGGGGACGGCUUCCCUCCUGGCACCCGUAGGCAGCCUCGGCUCACCGCCGUCGGGAUCUGGCCAACACCGGCUCCUAGCGUUGCAUCCAUCAGUCCCGGAUCUCGCCACUGCAGGAUGCGGGGAAGAGGAUGAGGUACGGCAUGCAACAACGAAAGAAGGUGCAGAGCCAGCGACUGGAUUUUUUUUGGUUAAAGAAGGUACAGGGCAACGACUGUAUUUAGAUCAUAAUAGGAUCGGUUCGCAUUGGUGGCGCAGUAGUGCUGCGUAGGCAGCUGCUACCAAUCUUCACCAUGCUGGAUGAAGCCGUCAAGGUGAGAUGAUCGAUUUCUUGUUGUCCACUGUCCCCUAUUUAAGAUUACUGACCUGGUUCCUCUUAUUUCUCUUGUUGAUGCAAACCUGCUCACUUCACAAGCCGCGCUCACAACUUCCAACGUAGAUUUCGUGGCUGGCAUGCUUAUCUUAUUUUCCUUUCUGGAUCAGGGAACAAAUUGCUCGAUCAUAAUAGUUUGUUCUUCUUUCUGUUCCAGGAAAGCACCGGAAAGAGAUGUUUCUAUGCAGCAUAACCCAAAAGUUUAAUUUGAGGAAUUCCAUCAAGCGUAUGUUCUAUAGCCUCCAUCCUGUAGUUUAUUUCCUUUGUUUCAGGUUGUACAGAGGAGCUCAGCGACAACUGAGGUGCUGCUAGAAUUACAUCAGCUACUAACUUACGUUAAUUUAAUCAAUUCCAUUGGCGUACUUUAGGAACGAGGCUGUAUUGGGUGGUCUCUGACCGCCUGACAGACAAUACAGAGUCGCCGUAGUUGGGUUGUGUUCAUGUAACACUGAAACUUGACAUAGUUAGUAUAAGAAGGUUUGGUUUACUUCCACUAUGUUACUGUUCAAUCUAUUUUAUAAACAUGUUGAUUAGCCAUUCUGGCAAAGAUGCAUCUUCAAUAUUUCAGAAAUCUCUUUUCCAGAAACUCCAAUUCUGCUCAUAGGAAUUGCGAUGCCCAAUAUUUCUCAAUUUGCUGACAAGGCUGUAAUAUAUGUAUGCCUUACGCAUGCCGAUCCAUUGGAAGAGUAUUUUCAAGGAUUCUGCUGCUUACUAAUUUUUUACAUCCAUUGAACAAACUAAGCGGUAGGGUGAUUGUUCCCUCUCAUUAGAACUAAAACAUAUCUUCGUAUUUUUAUAAGGUAUUUCUCCCCAAAAUCUUACCCAAACGAUUCCCAUGAAGUAAUAUAUUUCGAUAUGUUUUUAAACUUCUAAUUAUGUACAGUACAUUAUUGUUGUGGUGUUGAUCAUAUCAACCACGAAACAAGGUUUAUAUUUGUUUGAGUUUUUAUUCUCUAAUGAUAUAGCAUCCACGGGACCCGAGCACAAUGCUAAUUCAUAGAAAGCAUCUCUUGCUUGCGUUAAUUUGGCCUAGAGUGCUACAUCGUGGCCGGCGGGGCUUAACGGGCCCGCUUCGGGCCUGGCUGGGCCAGGGGUGGCCCAGCAUGCCCCGCGGGCAUGUCCGGACGGCUACCGCGACGGUGCCGGAGGCAUGGGCCUCCCGCACGACGGCGGUGGAGGUGGUUCCCUCCCGCUCGGCGUCGGUGUCGCGGCUCCCGUCGUGGUGCGCUUUUCUCCGGUCCUCUUGGCCUCGUGGUGGUGUUCGUAGUGAGGCGGCGUUGGUGGCGGCGCUACUGCGUUGGCGCAUGGGGGUGGGCGACGGUUUGGCGGGUCGGUUCCAUCCGGUUGGGCAGUUGGGUCUGGGAAUGCGGGAGAAAUCCCUGCCGGCUUCGGCCCCGAGGCGGUGACACCUGCGGGUGCCACCAUUCCUUCCUGGAGGGUGUCGGUGGUAUUCACCCCCACCUCCCUCUGCGUGCCAGGGGAAACCCUAGGACUCGUCCGGGUAGCAGCGUCGUCGGCGUCGCAUUCCUUCUUGGAGGUGCUGCUUGGUACGCGGCGGUUCGGAACCUCGGUCUGUGGUGGUUUGUAUCCGGUGGGCGCCGCGGUGGCGGGUCAUCCGCGCUUUGCCGAGCUGCUGUGGUUGGCAUUUGUUUCUUCUUCCUUUUCUUUUGGUGUGUUGUGCUGCUCGCCACAGCGAUCUUUGUACUCGGUGUUGGUUGCUUUGGAAUACAAAGCGGGGGGAAACCCUUUUUCGGUAAUUUGGCCUAGAGUUCUAUGUUUA